AGGGGCAUGGUGCAACGGUUAGCACACCGGCCUUUGAAGCCGUUGAUCUUGGUUCGAAUCCAGGUGCCCCUG
rnacentral:tRNA from 3 species